GACGAACGCUGGCGGCGUGCUUAACACAUGCAAGUCGAACGGAAAGGCCCUGCUUUUGUGGGGUGCUCGAGUGGCGAACGGGUGAGUAACACGUGAGUAACCUGCCCUUGACUUUGGGAUAACUUCAGGAAACUGGGGCUAAUACCGGAUAUGAGCUCCUGCUGCAUGGUGGGGGUUGGAAAGUUUCGGCGGUUGGGGAUGGACUCGCGGCUUAUCAGCUUGUUGGUGGGGUAGUGGCUUACCAAGGCUUUGACGGGUAGCCGGCCUGAGAGGGUGACCGGCCACAUUAGGACUGAGAUACGGCCCAGACUCCUACGGGAGGCAGCAGUGGGGAAUAUGGCACAAUGGGCGGAAGCCUGAUGCAGCAACGCCGCGUGCGGGAUGACGGCCUUCGGGUUGUAAACCGCUUUCGCCUGUGACGAAGCGUGAGUGACGGUAAUGGGUAAAGAAGCACCGGCUAACUACGUG
rnacentral:rRNA from 1 species